UUUCCGUCUUCCAGGUGUCGUUGGAGAACGUCGAGGAGGAGCCCGCGAUAUUUCGUCCGAAGUGGUUCGAGAGGACCCCGUCGAUUUUCAAAAGGCCGAUCAACUUCGCCGGAAACGCGCCACUUUCACUCGACUUCCCCGACGACGAGGAGGAUCGGAAUCGACCGUAACCGACGAAAUAAUACGCAUCGCGACUACGAUGAAAGUCGACGACGACGACGACGACGACGACGACCCUCGUUGAAACUUCGGAUCCCGGACUACUUCGAGACGCCCGGAGGCUUCACGAACACCGUUGCACGUGCCCGGAUGUUCUUGCUUUUCAUUCCCUCCUCUUCUGCGGCAUUAUCGUCGUCGUCGUCGUCGUCGUUGUCGUCGCGCAUGAGGCUGCGAGAAACGCC
rnacentral:misc_RNA from 1 species